CUGGGGCUGCCCCUGCCGGGAGAGCAUAACCCGGGUCCCAGCAGCUCGUGGUGGGAUGUGGAACAUGAAGAACUGCUGCACAGUCAAAGCACCCUGCCUGGAACUGUGGAACCAAACAGACCCAGCCCCUUCCUCCAUCCCAAUACCAGCAGAAGUUCCCUAAGUCAGAACCUGGGCCAGAAGUCACAAGAGAAGCAGUUGUCCUGUGAUGUGCUCCUCAAACUUUCCAGAUAUAUUUCAGUGGAUAUCUUUGGACCUGGCUUGGCCUGGAACCUCUUUCGGUUGUACAACUGUGAUCGUGAUGCCAAGCUACCCAAAAUACCCAACAUGUACGUCAGUCCCCUCAAGAUGGUGCGGCACAAGCUGAGGCCUUUCUUGCUGCACAGGAUGCUGCGGCUGCUGGGGAACAUGGGCGUGCUCACUGAGGGCCAGCAGCACAAGGUCUUCGCUCUGCUCAAGGAGCACAUGCUGAAAGCAAGGAAGAUACCACCAAAGCCCAAAGCAGAGCACAGUGGGCCGUGCCCGCAGCCUGUCUCGCACCUCGCCCCGUGGCAUCCCGGCUCCGACACCCGCCGCCACGCCGUGGUGGGUCGGGGGGUGGCCCUGCGUCUCGAGAGCUCCGCUGCUUUCCACUCUCUCGUCAUUCGCGACGGAGGGAAGGUGGUAUUCGCCGACCGCCCCCACGGGCCGCCCAUCACGCUGCGGGCCCGCUACAUCCUCAUCCGGGACGGCGGGGAGCUGCACGUCGGCUCGGAGCGCUGCCCCUAUGCCUCGCGGGCCACCAUCUCCCUGUACGGGAGAGCAGCCGACGGGGCGGCCGUGGACGGCUUCGGGCAGAAAUUCCUGGGCGUGGGGCGCGGCGGGGUGCUGGAGCUGCACGGGCGGCGGCCCCGCUCCUGGAGCCUCCUGGAUAAAACCCUGCACCCCGGAGGGCUCCGCCACGGCCCCUAUUACUCGGAGAGGCAGUGGGGCAGCCGCGGGCUCAACCUGCGAGUCCUGGACGCCGGCACGGGGCGGGUAGCAGCAGCCGGGCGCUUCGACACCCACCUGCGGGCCGCGGAGUGCCAUCGGCUGCGCGACUUCCUGGCACUGCAGCCCGAAGGCAGCGUGGUGGCGGCCGCCGUGGGGGACUCGGCCGCCCGCAGCCUCACGGUGGAGACGCGGCUGCUGCUGCGGGAUCGCUUGCGCAGCCAACACAUCUCCCGGCUGGGCUACAGGCAGCCCUGGGCGCUGGUGGGGAUCCUCGGAGGGGAUCCGCUUUCGACGGUGGAAGAGAAGAGAGAGUAUCAUGGGAAUGGGACAACAGGGUUAGCCGUAGCCCAAAGAGAAUUCCUCACCUACGAUGGCACCCGUUUCACUGUUACUGCUUUCAGUGGAUGGAUAAAAGGAGUGCCUCAUAAUGGGUUUAAAGUGGAGGUGUCCAAAGGAAUAAUUCUCCAUUUAGUGGAUGAUGUUAGGAGCUGGUUACCUGGUGACAGGAUCGUCAUUGCCAGUACGGAUUAUUCCAUGCAUCAGGCUGAGGAGUUCAAUCUCCUUCCUUGCCCUGAAUGUAAAAGCAAUCAAGUGAAAAUUGAUGGCAGCCCACUUUAUCUUCAUAUUGGCGAAGUCAUAGACGGCAUCGAUAUGAGGGCAGAGGUCGGUCUUCUGACUAGAAAUAUACUUAUCCAAGGAGAAAUGGAAGACUCCUGUUAUGGAGAAAAUCAAUGUCAGUUUUUCUCCUUUGACACGUUUGGAGGACAUAUUAAAAUCCUAGCGAAUUUUAGCUCUGUGCACAUGUCAGGUGUGGAGUUAAAAAACAUGGGGCAGCAAAUCCUGGGCAGUUACCCUGUGCACUUUCACAUGGCUGCAGAUGUCGAUGAGAGAGGAGGGUAUCAACGCCCAACGUACCUUGAUAAUCUGGCUAUCCACCACUGCUUCUCUAGGUGUGUUGCCAUACAUGGGACUCAUGGCCUGCUGGUAAAAGACACCAUUGGCUAUGACACCCUGGGGCACUGUUUUUUCCUGGAGGAUGGGACGGAGCAGCGCAAUACAUUCCAGCACAACUUGGGCCUGCUCACCAGGUCGGGAACCAUCUUGCCCUCAGAUCGCAAUGAAGCAAUGUGCCUUGCCAUCAGGAGCCACGUCUAUGGGAAUUACAUUCCGGUGCCAAGCACUGACUGCAUGGCUGUCAGCACUUUCUGGAUUGCAAAUCCAAACAACAACUUAAUAGAGAAUGCAGCUGCCGGUGCUCAGGAUGUCGGGAUCUGGUACAUCUUCCAUAGGGUUCCAACUGGACAGUCUGAAGGGCAAUAUCCAGAAGGACAAGCUGAACAUACCCCCUUGGGAGUGUUUUACAACAACAGAGUCCACUCCAAUUUCAAGGCUGGUUUGUUUAUUGGAAAAGGAGUAAAGACAACAAGAGCCAGCGCUGAAGAUCCCAGAGAGUAUCUCACUGUCGAUAAUGCCAGGUUUCGCCCACAUCAAGAUGCUGAUCCUGAAAAGCCACGAGUUCCUGCCGUAAUUGAUGGUCUCAUUGCUUUUAAAAAUAAUGACCAUGGGGCCUGGGCCAGGGGCGGCGACAUUAUUUUCCACAACUCUGGGUUUUCAGACAAUGGAAUUGGGCUCACACUGGCAAGUGAUGGGACAUUCCCAACUGACGAUGGCUCUAGCCUGGAGGUGUCACGCUCCAUUUUUGUUGGAGAAAGCAGCAAUCUGGGCUCCCAAGGAGGCCAGAACAGCUACUGGGGAAAAGGGGCAAACGGAGAAUACAGGACACUGCCCAGAAACAAGACAUUCCCUAUUCGUGGAUUCCAGAUUUAUGAUGGGCCUGUCAGGAUGGCAAAAUGCACUUUCAAGAAGUUUACCCCAACUGCUGACCGAUACUCAAGUGCCAUCGGCUUCUUCAUGAAAAACUCCUGGCAGAUAAGCCCCCAGAAUAAUGUGUCACAAAUCCUGAUGGAGAAGAGCGUUGGACUGAAAGUGUUUUUUGGCAGAGCGGGCCAGUGGUUUGGAAACAAUGAUAAUGACGGUGACAAAAUGUCUGUCUUCCAUGAUCUGGAUGGCUCCGUGACAGGAUAUUCCAACACCUUUGUAGGCAGAGCAGACAACUACCUGCUCCGUCAUCCCGGCUGCGUCACCGUCCCCCGCUGGAAUGGGGUGAUGUGCACUGGUAGAUAUGCACAGCUUUAUAUUCAGGCCAGGCGCCCUGAGAAUCUGACCUUAUCCAUUGCCAGAGCAGCAUACCACUCCCACCCCUUGCAGUUGCAAGGCGUGAACAGAGGAGCGCCGUACCAGCAAUACCAGCCGGUCGUCAUGCUGGAGCAGGCUUACAUCAUCCAGUGGGAUGGCAGAGCGCCUGAGGAUAUCAUCCUGUACCCAAUCAACUUCAACAGAGGAGACUGGCUGCACGUUGCCCUCUGCUAUCCCAGGAACACCAUCUUCCACGUGGUGAAAGAUAUCUACCAGCGACGGACAGGGAUGGUGCACAGCAUAAAGCAUUACCUCAUGGCUCCUUCCCGUGACAGUGUUCUCAAUGGGACCGGCGAGCAGCUCUUCUACUUUGACAGAGCGUUGGGGUACCUAUUUGUCCACCUGCAGGCCCACGAAGCUCGGCAAGGGCACAGUUACUGCUCCCAGCAAGGCUGUGAACGUAUCAAAAUCAUGGCGCAGAUGUACCCGGGGGGGUCCUGGAGCUGUGCCCCCAACCCCUUUUUGCAGAGGCCAGCUGCCCCGCAGCGCCCUGUGUCCCAGCACCAGGCAGUGCCAUGCAGGGCUUGUGGGGCCCCACAGCUUGCUAUCACCAGCACGCCCUCAGUCAAGUAUGUAAGAAUCCAGAUCCAGUCCCUCAGCAAGGCAGACAUACAGAACCACUUGACAUCUGCAUUCAUUAAGAUAAAUGACACGACGCUCCUGUUUAGUAGCCCUGGGGUGUUCUUCGUGGUGCUAGAUGCAUGUUCAGGAGCAGUUGUGAGUAGGCGGCACUUUGACACAGUUGCUGGGGAAAAUGUGACCGAUUCAAUAACUGAUUAUGUUCAAACAUUAAUAAAAGAGAGAUCACUUGUUCUUGUGUGCUCUAGAGAUAUUGGAGACAAGGUGUGGAGCUCUGAAAUGUCUGUUUUUACAAGGUUAGGUUCGGCAAAGCCUAUUGUCUUCCACAGAGAAGGUAAAUAUUUUUUAUUUUCUUGGAUGAAAGAAAGGUGAAGCACCAGACUUGGGAAGUUUCUACUUACAGUUUUACCUUGAAUUGCUGUAAAAAAUCCAUCAGUAUCAUUGGUCCAGAAAAUUCAAGUCAUUUUGGAUCACAGAUUUUUAUACCCUUAGAGCAUUCAUUUAGAAAUAGUUUCACUGUAUUUGCAAAGAAAUGAGAAAGAAAAUAGGAAAAUCAUUGCAGAUGACACUGGCCAGAUCCUGAUUGAUGCUCUAUUCCAUUCCAAAGACUGUUCUCUUCACAGUAAGACGUUUGUAGGCACCUCCUCACUGCGGUGCCUUUAAGCAGCACUCGUUUCUGGCAGAACAGCUUUCAGCCUGAAUUCUGUUUCUGAUGGAUUUGAGGGAACUGCUUGUGGAAGCUCAGUGUGCACAUAGCUGCCAGCUACAUACUGCCUUCAUUGUGCUGGGUUUCCUAUUAGAAAACGGGGCUGUUGAAGUCCAGGUUUGGACAAAUGACUCAAGCAAUGAGGAAAUUAGGAAAAUAACUAGCUAGCUUGAGUCAGAUUCCACCUGCAACCUCUUAAGCAGAAAUCAGAUGCAGAAUUGGUUGUAUUUUCAGCUCCUUUUUUUGUUGUUGUUGUUGCUUUUGCUUUAUUGAAAUUUACUUUCAAAGCUUAUUGCUGUGACUGUUCCAGGAAGAGAACAGCAUACUCUUUACAGCAGAGACAGUACUUCACUUUGGUGCCUGUUUGAUUCCUGAGAAGCUGUUUUAUCUUUCAUCCUUUCAAAGCAAAAAAUUUGAGGUUUUCUUUUUUUUUUUUUUUGCUAUUUCUUUGUCCUGGAACUUCAUUGCUUCAUUCCUUCAUCAAAGCCCUGAAUACUUUUGAAAGGAAUGUCUUGAUUAAAAAGGACUCUUUUUUGUUUACUUUGUCAAACUUAGUUCCCUGGCACACCUGCACUGCUCGCUUGGAUGCAGCCAUUCCAGGUCAUUUUUGGGAGCUCGGGUCCUCUGCCUCUGCAGCACACAAAGGAGUACACAGGGCCACCACAAGUCCCCAUCAAGGGCCGUUUCCUUGCUCUGCUGCUUCACUUGAGAAGUCAGGGUCAUUGUGCUGAUGGCUGACAGUGGGAUUAAGCCGUGUUGGCUGAUGCCGCGUUGCCCCUGUUUUACUUUUCUUAAGGGCAAGGGUGAUCACCUGCACGCCUGCCCUAAGUUCCAGUCUGGGUAAUUAUGUUCAGAUUCAUGAGCUUUCUCCUGCUGAUUCAGGGAGUUUUGCUAUGCUCGGCUAUAAAGGACAAGCCAAGCCCUCCUGGAUUAAAGUCCUAAAUCACACUCGUUAUCAGA